GACGAACGCUGGCGGCGUGCCUAAUACAUGCAAGUAGAACGCUGAAGGAGGAGCUUGCUUCUCUGGAUGAGUUGCGAACGGGUGAGUAACGCGUAGGUAACCUGCCUGGUAGCGGGGGAUAACUAUUGGAAACGAUAGCUAAUACCGCAUAAGAGUAGAUGUUGCAUGACAUUUGCUUAAAAGGUGCAAUUGCAUCACUACCAGAUGGACCUGCGUUGUAUUAGCUAGUUGGUGAGGUAACGGCUCACCAAGGCAACGAUACAUAGCCGACCUGAGAGGGGGAUCGGCCACCCUGGGACUGAGACACGGCCCAGACUCCUACGGGAGGCAGCAGUAGGGAAUCUUCGGCAAUGGACGGAAGUCUGACCGAGCAACGCCGCGUGAGUGAAGAAGGUUUUCGGAUCGUAAAGCUCUGUUGUAAGAGAAGAACGAGUGUGAGAGUGGAAAGUUCACACUGUGACGGUAUCGUACCAGAAAGGGACGGCUAACUACGU
rnacentral:rRNA from 1 species